rnacentral:misc_RNA from 1 species
AAAAAAAAAAAAGAACCUCACACGAAAUAAAAUAUAAUUAAUCAAAAUAGCAUCAUAAAUUUGAAAGUUGAGUAGGGUUAACAUAUUUAUAACAAUUUCCCACACUUAUCAAACAUGUAUAAACAAAGUCAACAAUGCCAUAUUUUCAUCUAAAAGUUGACUGAUAUCAAGUUUUUUUGGAACUUCUCAGAGUACCAAAUUAUCUUUGCAGUUUCUCAUUUUAAUAUUCUACGACGACAAAAAGGUCUAUGAGGUAAAAAUUUCAGUUUAAUUAAAUUCAUACAUAUUCAAA